ensembl:lncRNA
ACCCAGCUGUCUGUCUGCGAUCUGCGAGAUGCUCACUACCGUCUGUGCAUGUGGAGAAGAGAGUCAUGAUGGCGAUGCAGUGACAGAGGGCUCAGCAGAGUCAGAAGAAGGUGUUAAACUCUCAGUGGAGGAGACUGAACCAGCAGGGACCCAAAGCUCAGUGCAUCCUUCUUCUCCACACAGCCAUGAAAGACAUCAUCUGUUAUAACAGAGAAAAAUCAUAUCUCCCAAGUCCAGUAGGAUACAAUGGACUACUUGCACAAACUCUUCUGCAUAUAUCACCACCAUCAUCACCACCACCAAUAUCACCAUCAUCACCACCACUAUCAUCACCACCACCAUCACCACCACCAUCAUCACAUCACCACUACUAUCAUCACCAGCACCGCCAUCACAACCAUCAUCACCACUGCUACCAUCACCACCAUCACCAUAACCACCAUAACCACCAUCACCACACCAUCAUCACCAUCACCACCACUAUCAUCACCACCACCACCAUCACCACACCAUCACCACCGCUACCAUCACCACCAUCACCAUAACCACCAUAACCACCACCACCACCACUAUCAUCACCAUCACCACCCCCAUCACCAUCACCACGAUCAUCACCACCACACCAUCACCACCACUACCAUCACCACCACCACUACCAUCACCACCACUGUCACCCCCCUACCAUCAAUACCACCAUCAUCAACACCAUCAUCAUCACCACCAUAACCACCAUCACCACCACCAUCAUCACCACCAUCACCAUCACCACCAACAUCACCAUCAUCAUCACCACCAUCAUCAUCACCACAACCAUCAUCACCAACACCCCACCACCACCAUCAUCACCACCAUCAUCAACACCACCAUCACCAC